UACAGACUGUUAGUCAGAACAGCCGGCAUUGUAGUCUACCCUCCCAGGAUCAGGAAACAGUUCUCCAUGAAAUGCGCUGUACACAUCUGAACAGUUGGGUUGAAUUGUUGA